GAUAGUUGUAGUUUAAUACAGAAAGGAAUCUUCUUUAAUACUAAAGAAGAUUUACAGCUUGCUGUAAAAAAAUAUUGUGUAACAGAACACUAUGAGAUUAUUAUAGUGGAAUCAAAUCAAGAUCUUUGGUAUGUCAGAUGUAAAUCAUGGAGGGAUGCUUGUGAUUGGACGUUACAGGCAUGUCAUAAAACUCAUGGGAUAUUCGAAAUCACCAAACUUCAAGGAGAAUACUCAUGUUUGUUUUCAGAAUUGACACAGGAUCAUUCACAGCUUGAUUCAAAUUUUAUAAGUAUCAAAAUCCAAAAUUUGGUUAGAGAUGAUCUUGCGGUACCUGUGGUCCCAAUUAAAAAAUAAUAUGGCUAUAAUGUUAAUUAUAGACGGGUGUGGCAAGCCAAGAGAAAAGCGUUGAUUGCUGCGUUUGGUGAUUGGGAGAAAUCAUAUUCAGAGCUUCCUUAUUGGUUGAGUGCUCUUGUUCAAUACAAUCCAGGAACACGAACAGAUUGGUAUUUCCUUCCGUCUAUGUGCCAGGUAAUAGAGUCUGGUCCUUCUAAUCCUGUACAACUAUAUCAACAAAAUACGCAUCGUUCACAAUCGGUAUGUGAUAGUUCUUCUACCGUAGUUUUGAGUUAUCGGAGAAGGGAGGCAUCUGCACAACAUACUAUCCCAUUUGAUCACCGCAUUAUUCCCUACGUUGAACAUGUAGGUUUUCUUGGGGUUGCACAAAUCGGAUACAACUCAUUACUACUCUAGUUGAGCGUUGGAAACCAGAAACCCACACAUUUCAUCUGCCUUGUGGGGAAUGUACAAUCAGACUGUAGGAUGUUGCCAUACAGUUUGGGUUACGAGUGGACGAGCAGCCAUUGACAGGUUCACUACAAUAUGAUUGGAAGAAUGUUUGUGAAGAGCUCUUAGGCGUUCUACCAGAUGAUUUGAAAGGCUCAAGAUUGAGUAUCCUCUGGUUGGCGUCCCAGUUUCCAGAAUUACCUCUCGAUGACAACGACAUCAGCGUACGUAGGUAUGCACGAGCCUACAUUAUGCAGCUUAUUGGAGGAUUUUUGUUCGCUGACAAGUCAAAUACUCUAGUGUGUCUCAUGUUCCUCCCGCUACUGUCUGAUUUUGAACAUGCUGGUACGUACUCGUGGGGUGGUGCAUGUCUUGCAUAGUUAUAUAGAGAACUUUGUCGGGCUACCAAUGCACAAGCGUUGGAAAUAGCGGGGUCACUGAUACUACAGGUAUAGGCUUAUGAUAGAUUUCCAAGUAUAGCACCACAAGUCCAGUUACAGACCUAGAUCAUUAUCCACUUAGUACCAGAUGAAGUGGUGUAUUAGUUGCCUCUGAACAGUCAGCAAAUAUGUUGCUCGUGUAUCGAAAAAUAUUUGACAUACUGAUGCACAAUCAGAUUAAUUGAACGCCAUAUACACAACCGAUUUGGUCUAUCAUUAUCUGAUUACUGUCGUGAUAGUGAAGACAUCUGGUUGAUCGUUAGCCCUCUUAUAUGCUUCCAUAUAGUAGAGUGACAUCAUCUAGAUCAUGUGUUGAGACAGUUCGGUCUACGACAAACAAUACCUUUGUUGUCCUAUACACUCCCAGCAUUACACCAGAUUGAUUUGAGAGGUAAACACGACCAAGACUGGUGUCGAAUCCACGCGGAAUAUAUAUCCUACUGGCAUGAACGACAUGAUCAUUGUGCACAGGGAGAAAUAACAAAUGGGUCAGUUGUAUCAUAUGACUACUUUUCUUGGUACGAUUCAAUCACGAGGCGAUUUAUCGCAUCUCACAGUGCUUAUUAUUACUGCAUGAAUAAUUUUAUCGGAGAUAUACAACAAUAUUUAGUGCAACACAACUUACCAGAGUUGGGUUCAAUGUGUCAGCAAACAUUGGUCAACAUAGAAAGCAUUAUUCAACAAAUAAGACGACUCAAUGUUGCUGACAUCAGGGGUAAGGGCCAGGUGGUCUUCUUUAAAUUUCAUGUAAACUUCUAAUUUCAAAUUAAAGAACUAAUUGUAAAUCUUCUUUAAUAUCAUGCCAU